CUCAGUUUCCCCUCAGGUUCCUCCCUGCACACAAACCACAGCCUUCCCCCACCUCACAUCUUCCUGCGGAGACCCCAACGCUUCCCCCAGCGCCCACCCAGCCCUCAAAUCCCCCCUGGCUCAGAGCGGAGGAUCCUGAGGUGGGAUUUUCCAUCACCCCCCACCCCGAGGCUCCGUGCUGAGUCCCUGCAGACGCUUUUGGGGCCAUUCACCCCAGAAUGAGGCUGAGGACCACAUGUCGUUGGCAACGACACGUGGAGCCGCGGGGGAAUGAGCUGCUGAGAGCCACGAUGGUUCUGGCAUGGAUUCAUCCCAAAAGAAUCCGAGCGGAGCGUGGAGCUGGGCCGGGGUUGGGGGUUGUUUCCAUUUCUGAGCCAUUUUGCACCGCAUUGUGGUGUCAGUUUUGGGGUGAUUAUCAAAUAUAGAGGAGAAGGAGCGAGUCGGAGGCAGAACCAGGCAGCUCCACUCCUCUGCACCCACCCCAGCAGCACUGAGGACAUCCCCUCCAUUUGCUUUCCUUUUUUGGGGGGAUGUUUACUCAUAAACUGGAGAGAUUUUCCCUGUUUUCUCCCCCUUUUUAAACAAAUCAUUAUUAUUUUCAUUAUUAUUUUCAGAGCUUAAAUGGCUCAAUGCUCAGCCACUGGAGAACGGUGGCCGUUGGGCAGAGCCAUGUCCACAAUGCACGGCCUCCAUUGGGUGCAGUGAGACGCCAAGCCUUGUUUUAGUGGGCACAGUGGGGGGUUGGGGUUGGGUUGUUGGUGUUGGAGCUCUUUUCCAAGCUUAAGACUCCAUGAUUCUAUGAGUGAGCAUGGUGGGAACGGGUUGGGGUUGGACUGUUGGUCUUGGAGGUCUUUUCCAACCUUAAUGGCUCCUUGAUUUGACGAGUGAGCAUGGUGGGAAUGGGUUGGGUUUGGACUCAAUGGUCUCAGAGGUCAUUUCCAACCUUAAUGACUCCAUGAUUCGAUGAGUGAUCAUGGUGGGAAUGGGUUGGGGUUGUAAUGUUGGUCUUGGAGGUCUUUUCCAACCUCAUUGGGUUUCAGAAGAAGAAUGGAUCUGUCGGAUUUCAGCCUCCCUGACCCCCAUCCCCCCCUUCUAUAUAAAAAAACCCAAAUGCUGUCCCCAUAACUGCAAUCAGAGCGCUCUGCAGAGCUCCGGACACAAUUGCUGUGGUUGUUAUUAUCUUUAUUUAAGGCCCACGGAGGCCCUGAGGGAAUAUCACCAUCCUGGUGCCAUAAGAUCUAGAAACGGUGCCGCUGUUUACUGUGCCGUCGCGUUGGCUCCUCAGCCCUUCGAAACCGUAACCUUCCUUUUUAUGGCAACAAUUAUGCUAACGAUAACAUCAUUAAACCGCAUGGGAAUGACCCUUAAAUCAAAAGGGGAAGCUUCCCCUUCCUGAGAACGGUGGCCCAUUGGAGACCUCGGGUGGAAGGAAUCACCGCCCCCCAACCACAGCGAGUUCGGUGGAUAUAUCUCUCUAUAUAUUUUAAGAAGAUUAUUUAUGGUUUAUUUUAGACGCCGGAUCAUUUGGCUCUUGUUUCAUCAAUUUGUCACUGUUUUUAUUGUCACCAAUUGCCCAUAACUGGAGUGCGUUUAAAAUGUCAUUGAUCUUGAUAUUAUGGUGUCAUAAUAUGACAGUAAUAGUUGUAUCUUGUACAGAAAGCCCACUUCCUAAGAUUGAUGGCUUUCACCGCACCAAUUAUAUUCUGUCCAUCUCGGUGAUAAAGAGAGCGUUGGAGGCAUUCAAUAGAUAAAUUAGAUAUCUUUUCAAUUAUUCCCUUUAUUUUAUAGGGUCACGUGCCUGAUUAACAACUUUUUACUUCUGUUAUUAAGCCGGCGGGUUCUCAAUGCUCGCUCCAUGUCUUUUAAUUCUCGUGGAUAUAAUGGAAGACGUUGAGGGCUUUGUGCUCUGUGAUCCUCUCCUAUCUUUUGUGCAGUACGAAUCUCACUCUUCCUGGCAGCCCAUGGGUGCUGCAGUCCCUUUUUUCCUCCAGGAUUCCAUAAAAGAAUCCCUUCCUUUGGCUGGAAGGCGCCCUGAACUGUGAGCUCAGCCCCAUCCGGACGUGUUUCUCACCCAGGCUUUGCUCCGUGGCGCUGUGGAUGGUUGGGGGGAGAGCUCUGAGAUGCAGAGUGUCCCAUGUCAGGGUAUUUCUGGAGCUGAAGGAGUGGGUGGAUGGGGAAGGUGGUGGCCUCGGGCAGGAUGUGGCCUCUUCUCUCUGUGUUCCAGGUUGGGGACGUCGGCACCGGUUGCUGUGACUGAGUGUCCCCAUCCCCACACGAGGAUGUCCCAGUAUAUCCCAGAGGUGCUCCCAUGGUGCAAGCCUGGAGGACCUCUGUUGGCCAAGACUGGGUUCCAUGUCCACAUGAAGAUUCCCCAUUACACCCCAGAGGUGUUCCCAUGGCAUCACAUGAGCCUGGAGGACCACUGUUGGCCAAGCCCAGCUUCCAUGUCCGUAGGAGGAUCUCCCACUGCACCCUACAGAUGUUCUUAUGGCACUGGGAGAGCCUGGAGGACCACUGUGGGCCAAAGCCAGGUUCCACGUCCACAUGAGGAUGUCCCAAAACAUCUUAGAGGCAUUCCCAUUGAGCCAUGUGAGCCUUGAGAACCCCUGUUGGCCAAGGCCAGGUUCCACGUCCACAUGAGGAUGUCCCAGCACACCCUUGAGGUGCUCCCAUGGCAUCGUGUGAGCCCUGAGGGCCACUUUUGGCUCUGAGAUGGUCGCAGCGUGGUGAGAUGGCUCUGGGCUGGUUGAGUUUUGUUGGCUUUGUGGGACCCCAAGCAUCCACUUCAGGGGGACCUCGUCUUCUACUCAGCCAAAUGACUCCGGGUGCUGCAGGGCGAUGGCAAACGCAAGGAGACAUUCAACCACGGGCUGCCCUGACCCCAUUCCUGCUCCCCACGGGGGUGGGACAAAAGAUUUGUGAUUUGUAACCCAUCAGGUCCCCAAAAAGCACUUUUCUGUCUCCCUCCGAGCUCCACACCGGAGACGCCGGGCUGCCCCUACCCCAAUUCCCUCCCACCGCAGACGUCGAUCCGCGCAGGCGAAUGGAAACACGGCGCUGGCGAGAGGCUCCCCUGCAGAGCAGUUCCUCAUCCCGACCUGCAACGCACACAAAGAGCAAUUCAGGUGGAGUUACCCCGAGGAGAUUUAUGGCGUCCAGGGAGGCGCACGCGAUCCGAUACCAAAGCAUGAAUCAAAGCAGGACAGCCGGGAUGUAUUUACAUCUGCGCCGCGCGCGCGCCGACGUCGCAAGGAGAACACAAAGUGCCCAUCCACUAAUGGAAAGGAGACAUUUCGGAGACGUGAAGGAGUUGGAGACAUUUCGGCCCUAUUUGGAAGAGGUGGGGGCACAGGGAGCGGUGCCAGCCCCUUCCCCAUCUCCACACCCCCACAUUUUCCCCUCCUUUCGUCCCAGGUGGAAAUGGAUGGAAGCCAAACGUGCCAUAAGACGAAGUGUGCUGAUGGGAAGCGGAGCCCAUCGCCUCCAUCACUGACAAACAGGGAGAGGUGGGGUUGGUGGUCGCUGGUUUUCCACUCGCAGUGGUCCAUCAGGGUUACGGAUGCUCUGUGGGUAACAGAAAAUGGUCAUAAUACCCCCCCAGGUUCAGUGCUUUGGGGUUUCUCAGCAUGUUACCAGCGGGCACCAAUCAGGGUGGGGAGGACGAGAGCCUCAUUUCUCCCCAAGCAGAUAAAAUUUCUCCUCUUCCCAUCCACACAAACCCCAGCCAUAAAUCCUCAGGCUCGAGCAAAUGCAGGGCAGAAGUUUAAAGCAAACCUUACGAUUUUAAUGCCCGGGCUCAACGAAGCAUGGAAACAUUUGCUCAGCAUUAAGUGUGUGCUUAGCACCCCGCAGGAGCCCAGAGCUGCACACAGCAGUGCAGGAACUCCCUUCUUCCUCCCCAAUUCAUCCCCUGUAGGAGCAGAGCACGGAGGCAGCGAGCCAAGCGUCCGGCCAACGCUGCAGCAAGAUUUAUGGGAGGGGAAGGGACCCGCUUUCUUCCCUGUGAUUAAUAAGGAGAAGACAAGAAACCUCCUCAGAGCCCCAAUGGAGGCAUUUCCCUGGUUUGAUGGGGUCAACGAGAGCCGAAUUCCAGCCGAUGUAGAUAUAAUUUCAUCGGGGGGUUGGAGGGUCCCUUCCAUCCCUCCCACUGCUGCAAGAAGAGAACUGGAAGCGUCUCCUCCCUCCGUGCUGCUCCAGGGCUCGGUGACCCUGCAGCGAUGUUCGGUCCUGGCAGCGGCGUGGCGACGUUCCUGGGAGGAAAACAGAGGAAAUGGGGGUCUGGUGAGGAGGAGCCCCAGUGGGAAUGGUGGGGAGGGAGGAACUGUGCUGCGCAGCCCGUGCUUUGUGCAUGACGGCACUGCGGGCAGGGAUUGCAGUGGGGUCAGGUUCCCAGCAAGGGCUGCUUCCCAGGGCCUCGCUCUGCAUGGGGAGACGGAGGGGAGCGCUGAAUGCAUUCCUACAAACGCCUCCAAACUCCUCUCCCAUCCUGGCCAGCUCUGCAAAACCCCACCCUGGGAUGCAAGGAUCCAAAAGCCAUCGGGACGUCGCAUUUACCGACGCCAUUCAUCUACACCCAUCCCCAGGACGGGCUGCAGGAGCCGCGCUGGUGGUCCCAGCCAUUAGCAGAGCCCUGAGGAUGAGCUCCCAGCCCUCUCCCCCAGCCCUGUCCUUGCACAUCAUCCGCCCUCACAUCACUGCUGGAUGUGGCACCGGAGCCCUCGGCGCGGCCACAACUCAGGUUGGCAGCUGAGCAUCCUGGAGCGGCCGAGCGCGGCCGGGAGCCGUAAUUCUUACCCUGCAUUCCCUGCCAGCUCUGCUCCCCGGUGGCACAUAGAUCACCCAGAGGUGUGGAUGGAGAGCAGGCGAUGUAAAUCACAUUAAACUCCACGCGUGGAGCUGCUCGUUCCAAACGCAGCCAGCCUUAAUUCGGUUUAGCUUUGCGAAUUAAGCUCAAGUGAAUUAAACCAACUCUAAUUCUGGGUAAGUGUCCAGAAUGGGGUUUUAUGUGCUCUGGCUAAUCCAUUUUAAAGGUUGAUUU
ensembl:lncRNA